UACGGAGGGUGCGAGCGUUGUCCGGAAUCACUGGGCGUAAAGAGCGCGCAGGCGGUCGGAUAAGUCGAAUGUGAAAGCCCCCGGCUCAACUGGGGAGGGUCAUUCGAUACUGUUCGACUCGAAGGCAGGAGAGGGAAGUGGAAUUCCCGGUGUAGUGGUGAAAUGCGUAGAUAUCGGGAGGAACACCAGUGGCGAAGGCGACUUCCUGGCCUGUUCUUGACGCUGAGGCGCGAAAGCUAGGGGAGCAAACGGG
rnacentral:rRNA from 1 species